GUAAGUUCCGACCUGCACGAAUGGCGUAACGACUUCUCAACUGUCUCAACCAUAGACUCGGCGAAAUUGCACUACGAGUAAAGAUGCUCGUUACGCGCGGCAGGACGAAAAGACCCCGGGACCUUCACUACAACUUGGUAUUGGAGUUCGUUACGGUUUGUGUAGGAUAGGUGGGAGACUGUGAAACUCACACGCCAGUGUGGGUGGAGUCGUUGUUGAAAUACCACUCUGAUCGUAUUGGGCUUCUAACUUCGAACCGUAUAUCCGGUUCAGGGACAGUGCCUGGUGGGUAGUUUAACUGGGGCGGUUGCCUCCAAAAAAGUAACGGAGGCGCCCAAAGGUUCCCUCAACCUGGACGGCAAUCAGGUGUUGAGUGCAAGUGCACAAGGGAGCUUGACUGCGAGACGUACAUGUCGAGCAGGGACGAAAGUCGGGACUAGUGAUCCGGCACCCCCGAGUGGAAGGGGUGUCGCUCAACGGAUAAAAGGUACCCCGGGGAUAACAGGCUGAUCUUCCCCAAGAGUCCAUAUCGACGGGAUGGUUUGGCACCUCGAUGUCGGCUCGUCGCAUCCUGGGGCUGGAGCAGGUCCCAAGGGUUGGGCUGUUCGCCCAUUAAAGCGGCACGCGAGCUGGGUUUAGAACGUCGUGAGACAGUUCGGUCUCUAUCCGCCGCGCGCGUCAGAAACUUGAGGAAACCUGUCCCUAGUACGAGAGGACCGGGACGGACGAACCUCUGGUCUACCAGUUGUCACACCAGUGGCACGGCUGGAUAGCUACGUUCGGACAGGAUAACCGCUGAAAGCAUCUAAGCGGGAAACCUCUUCCAAGACCAGGUUUCUCACCCUUUGAGAGGGAUAAGGCCCCCCGCAGACCACGGGAUCGAUAGACCAGACCUAGAAGGCCAGCAAUGGUUGCAGGGAACUGGCACUAACCGGCCGAAAAC
rnacentral:rRNA from 1 species